rnacentral:rRNA from 1 species
UACGUAGGGGGCGAGCGUUGUCCGGAGUUACUGGGCGUAAAGGGCGUGCAGGCGGUCUGGUAAGUUUGGAGUGACAGUGCUCGGCUUAACUGAGCAAGGUUUUCAAAAACUGCUGGACUUGAGGGCUUGAGAGGGACAUAGAAUUCCGGGUGGAGUGGUGAAAUGCGUAGAUAUCCGGAGGAAUACCAAAGGCGAAGGCAGUGUCCUGGCAAGCAUCUGACGCUGAGGCGCGAAAGCUAGGGGAGCGAACAGGAUUAGAUACCCUGGUAGUCCUAGCCGUAAACGAUGACCACCAGGUGUGCGGAGUAUCGACCCUCUGCGUGCCGGCGUAAACAUUUUAAGUGGUCCGCCUGGGGAGUACGGUCGCAAGAUUAAA